rnacentral:rRNA from 1 species
CAGUCGCCGCGGUAAUACGAAGGGGGCUAGCGUUGCUCGGAAUGACUGGGCGUAAAGGGCGCGUAGGCGGCGGCCAAAGUCAGGCGUGAAAUUCCCGGGCUCAACCUGGGGGCUGCGUUUGAUACUUGGUUGCUUGAGUGGGGAAGAGGGUCGUGGAAUCCCCAGUGUAGAGGUGAAAUUCGUAGAUAUUGGGAAGAACACCGGUGGCGAAGGCGGCGACCUGGUCCUUUACUGACGCUGAGGCGCGAAAGCGUGGGGAGCAAACAGGAUUAGAUACCCCUGUAGUCCCUGUCUCUUAUAC